rnacentral:piRNA from 1 species
UACCUGUGACACAAGAAGUUGACAAGG